UCUUUUAGCUAGCACAAAUAUGUAUACUAGUUCAGAGACAAUGGACGUCAUACUAAACUCCGAAUUAUACCCAAGACACUAAGAUUAAAAUCAGUCAAGACUAUCAAAAGUCAGAGGCUCCUGACUUGGGACAGGCGCAAACAUUCAGCGAGGUUGAACAUGUUUUUGAGAUCUCAGCCUUCCCCCUAUACAUCUAUCCAAUGUAGUAAAAACAAACACACAGCAAUAUGCACAGUAAAACUCAGUUAA
rnacentral:lncRNA from 1 species